ACCGGCUUUUCUCAGCUGCACUUAAUCACGUUCUUGUGUGUGGCUGGCGUGUUUCCAGAGCGAGAGGCCCUCCUAACGCGCGGCAGAUUGGCCCCUGUGGCCUCUCUGCUCCUAGGAGUGUGACAGCU
ensembl:snoRNA